GUACCCGGAAAGGGACGCUAAUACCGCAUGACAUCCUGUCUUUUGAAGAGGGCGGAGAUACAAAGCGUUGGGAUCGCAAGACCUAGCACUCGAAGAGGGGCCCGCGCCUGAUUAGCUAGUUGGUGGGGUAACGGCCCACCAAGGCAAUGAUCGGUAGCCGGCCUGAGAGGGCGCACGGCCACACUGGAACUGAAACACGGUCCAG
rnacentral:rRNA from 1 species